AAUCCACCUUCUUGCCACCUGCAACCCCAAUCUCAAUCCGGAGGCCAGUACCACCAGGAUAUUUCUUAAAGAGCUGGGAACCUUUGCUCAAAGCUCCAUCGCCCUUCACCAUCAGUACAACCCCAAGUUUCAGACCCUGUUCCAACCCUGUAACUUGAUGGGAGCUAUGCAGCUUGUUGAAGACUUCAGCACACAUGUCAGCAUUGACUGCAGCCCUCAUAAAACUGUCAAGAAGACUGGUAGGAGACAGAUGUGUCAGCUUUAAGUUUUUACUUGUGCCAAUGAAUUUCCCUGUUUGCCAAAGCAAGUGGCUUGGAUCCUGGCCACAAGCAAGGUUUUCAUGUAUCCAGAGUUACUUCCAGUGUGUUCCCUGAAGGCAAAGAAUCCCCAGGAUAAGAUCGUCUUCACCAAGGCUGAGGACAAUUUGUUAGCUUUAGGACUGAAGCAUUUUGAAGGAACUGAGUUUCCUAAUCCUCUAAUCAGCAAGUACCUUCUAACCUGCAAAACUGCCCACCAACUGACAGUGAGAAUCAAGAACCUCAACAUGAACAGAGCUCCUGACAACAUCAUUAAAUUUUAUAAGAAGACCAAACAACUGCCAGUCCUAGUAAAAUGCUGUGAAGAGAUCCAGCCACAUCAGUGGAAGCCACCUAUAGAGAGAGAAGAACACCGGCUCCCAUUCUGGUUAAAGGCCAGUCUGCCAUCCAUCCAGGAAGAACUGCGGCGCAUGGCUGAUGGUGCUAGAGAGGUAGGAAAUGUGACUGGAACCACUGAGAUCAACUCAGAUCAAGGCCUAGAAAAAGACAAUUUGGAGUUGGAGAGUGAAACUCGGUACCCACUGCUAUUGCCUAAGGGUAUAGUCCUA
rnacentral:sRNA from 1 species